GCAGGUGGGCGCGGCUACACAUGCAGUCGAGCGGUAACAUUUCUAGCUUGCUAGAAGAUGACGAGCGGCGGACGGGUGAGUAAUACUUAGGAAUCUACCUAGUAGUGGGGGAUAGCUCGGGGAAACUCGAAUUAAUACCGCAUACGACCUACGGGAGAAAGGGGGCAACUUGUUGCUCUCGCUAUUAGAUGAGCCUAAGUCGGAUUAGCUAGUUGGUGGGGUAAAGGCCUACCAAGGCGACGAUCUGUAGCUGGUCUGAGAGGAUGAUCAGCCACACCGGGACUGAGACACGGCCCGGACUCCUACGGGAGGCAGCAGUGGGGAAUAUUGGACAAUGGGGGCAACCCUGAUCCAGCCAUGCCGCGUGUGUGAAGAAGGCCUUUUGGUUGUAAAGCACUUUAAGCAGUGAAGAAGACUCCGUGGUUAAUACCCACGGACGAUGACAUUAGCUGCAGAAUAAGCACCGGCUAACUCUGUGCCAGCAGCCGCGGUAAUACAGAGGGUGCAAGCGUUAAUCGGAAUUACUGGGCGUAAAGGGAGCGUAGGUGGCUCGAUAAGUCAGAUGUGAAAUCCCCGGGCUCAACCUGGGAACUGCAUCUGAUACUGUUGAGCUAGAGUAUGUGAGAGGAAGGUAGAAUUCCAGGUGUAGCGGUGAAAUGCGUAGAGAUCUGGAGGAAUACCGAUGGCGAAGGCAGCCUUCUGGCAUAAUACUGACACUGAGGCUCGAAAGCGUGGGUAGCAAACAGGAUUAGAUACCCUGGUAGUCCACGCCGUAACGAUGUCUACUAGUCGUUGGGUCC
rnacentral:rRNA from 1 species